UACGGAGGGUGCAAGCGUUAAUCGGAAUUACUGGGCGUAAAGCGUGCGCAGGCGGUGAUGUAAGACAGAUGUGAAAUCCCCGGGCUUAACCUGGGAACUGCAUUUGUGACUGCAUCGCUGGAGUGCGGCAGAGGGGGAUGGAAUUCCGCGUGUAGCAGUGAAAUGCGUAGAUAUGCGGAGGAACACCGAUGGCGAAGGCAAUCCCCUGGGCCUGCACUGACGCUCAUGCACGAAAGCGUGGGGAGCAAACAGG
rnacentral:rRNA from 1 species